CCGACGGUGAGGGACGAAAGCUGGGGGAGCAAACCGGAUUAGAUACCCGGGUAGUCCCAGCCGUAAACGAUGUGCGUUAGGUGUAUCGGUGACCACGAGUCACCGAGGUGCCGAAGAGAAAUCGUGAAACGUACCGCCUGGGAAGUACGGUCGCAAGGCUGAAACUUAAAGGAAUUGGCGGGGGAGCACCACAACAGGUGGAGCCUGCGGUUUAAUCGGACUCAACGCCGGGAAACUCACCAGAUAAGACAGCUGAAUGAUAGUCGGGCUGAAGACUCUACUUGACUAGCUGAGAGGAGGUGCAUGGCCGUCGUCAGUUCGUACUGUGAAGCAUCUUGUUAAGUCAGGCAACGAGCGAGACCCACGCCAACAGUUGCU
rnacentral:rRNA from 1 species